UCACACCUUACGGUGGCAGUCUCUCCAGAGUCCCCAGCAUUACCUGAUGGUAACUGAAGAUAGGGGUUGCGCUCGUUAUGGCACUUAAGCCGACACCUCACGGCACGAGCUGACGACAACCAUGCAGCACCUAGUUUCGUGCCCCGAAGGGAAAUAGUAUCUCUACUAAAGUCACUAACUUUCAAGCCCGGGUAAGGUUCCUCGCGUAUCAUCGAAUUAAACCACAUGUUCCUCCGCUUGUGCGGGCCCCCGUCAAUUCCUUUGAGUUUCACCGUUGCCGGCGUACUCCCCAGGUGGAAUACUUAACACUUUCGCUUUACCGCUGACGAGAACUCGCCAACAAUUAGUAUUCAUCGUUUACUGCGUGGACUAC
rnacentral:misc_RNA from 1 species